UACGUAUGGUGCGAGCGUUGUCCGGAAUUAUUGGGCGUAAAGAGCUUGUAGGCGGUUUGUCGCGUCUGCCGUGAAAAUUCGAGGCUCAACCUCGAACUUGCGGUGGGUACGGGCAGACUAGAGUGUGGUAGGGGAGACUGGAAUUCCUGGUGUAGCGGUGAAAUGCGCAGAUAUCAGGAGGAACACCGAUGGCGAAGGCAGGUCUCUGGGCCACUACUGACGCUGAGAAGCGAAAGCAUGGGGAGCUAACAGG
rnacentral:rRNA from 1 species